UGGGGGAUAUUGCACAAUGGGCGAAAGCCUGAUGCAGCGACGCCGCGUGGGGGAUGAAGGCUUUCGGGUUGUACACCUCUUUCGCUAUCGAACAAGGCCCGCUUAGGGUGGGUUGAGGGUAGGUGGAGAAGAAGCGCCGGCUAACUACGUGCCAGCAGCCGCGGUAAUACGUAGGGCGCGAGCGUUGUCCGGAAUUAUUGGGCGUAAAGGGCUUGUAGGCGGCUUGUUGCGCCUGCUGUGAAAACGCGGGGCUUAACUUCGCGCGUGCAGUGGGUACGGGCAGGCUUGAGUGUGGUAGGGGUGACUGGAAAUCCAGGUGUAGCGGUGGAAUGCGCAGAUAUCUGGAGGAACACCGAUGGCGAAGGCAGGUCACUGGGCCAUUACUGACGCUGAGGAGCGAAAGCAUGGGUAGCGAACAGG
rnacentral:rRNA from 1 species